AUCCAGCCGAUGAGUCGCAAAUAGGAUGAAACGGACGUCCUGAAU
rnacentral:hammerhead_ribozyme from 1 species